rnacentral:rRNA from 1 species
GUCUACGGCCAAACCACCCUGAACGCGCCCGAUCUCGUCUGAUCUCGGAAGCUAAGCAGGGUCAGGCCUGGUUAGUACUUGGUUGGGAGAAUAAAAGAGUCCAUGCACUGUUUAUU